rnacentral:rRNA from 1 species
AUUGAACGCUGGCGGCAGGCUUAACACAUGCAAGUCGAGCGGAGAGAGGUAGCUUGCUACUGAUCUUAGCGGCGGACGGGUGAGUAAUACAUCGGAACGUGCCCUGUAGUGGGGAUAACUAGUCGAAAGAUUAGCUAAUACCGCAUACGACCUGAGGGUGAAAGUGGGGGACCGCAAGGCCUCAUGCUAUAGGAGCGGCCGAUGUCUGAUUAGCUAGUUGGUGGGGUAAAGGCCUACCAAGGCGACGAUCAGUAGCUGGUCUGAGAGGACGAUCAGCCACACUGGGACUGAGACACGGCCCAGACUCCUACGGGAGGCAGCAGUGGGGAAUUUUGGACAAUGGGCGAAAGCCUGAUCCAGCAAUGCCGCGUGUGUGAAGAAGGCCUUCGGGUUGUAAAGCACUUUUGUCCGGAAAGAAAUGGCUCUGGUUAAUACCUGGGGUCGAUGACGGUACCGGAAGAAUAAGGACCGGCUAACUACGUGCCAGCCGCCGCCGUAAUAC